GGUCGGCAGUUCACCGAGGCGUCGCCGCCCCUUUGGGGAGCUAAACCUGCC
rnacentral:ncRNA from 1 species